AUCACUUAAAUUUUUGUUUUACUUAUCUGUUUUUCAAGUUCAAAAGUAAACCAAGUCACUCAUGACUCACUGCAUCAAAUUUAAACAGACAGUCCCUGCAAAUUUCCCUGUAUUUUGGAUUUAAAGUUCUCAUCUUUCUACUCUUUCAGUCACUUGAAACAAACAUACCUCAUCUCUCUCUCUCUCUCUCUCUCUCUCUCUCUCUCUCUCUCUCUCUCUCUCCUGCAUCACAACAGAGUCUCUCUCUGUUAGAGUGCAUUACAUCUCUCUCUCUCCCUCUCUCUCCUCUUUCUGUUACAUUACAUAUAGACACAAACUGCAUUACAUCACAGUCAGAGAGUACACACAUCAAAAAAGCAGCUAAAUCAAGAAACACACAAGAACAAGCAAAGCACAUGAAGUCAUGAAUUUAUCAAUUACUAUUACCCAUUUCUUCUUUUACUAUUUUUGUAUUGAUCUGUAACCCUAACACCCAACUCAACAAAUAAUGCAAUGGGGGUCUUAGGUGAAACAUGGUGUUUCUGCAAUGGUGGAGGCAAAUCUGAAAGAAUGAAAGCUUCCAUUUUUUCCGGCAAAGCUCCGGCCUUGGCAAGAAUUGCUCUUGGUGGCUCAUUGUUUGGCACCGGUUUCUUGAUUCACCGCAAUUUGCUUCUUACAACUCAUGCCAAUCUUCCUUCUGUUUCCGCAGCCGAGUCGUCGGAGAUCCGGCUGCAAAAUGGUGUGGGAGCUUGCCUUUUUCCUCAUAGAUUCUUCAUCACAAGCUCAGUUCUUGAUCUAACAAUAGUUGGUCUGGAUGUGAUGGACGGGGACUCAAGUGUGCAGGUUCCUCAUCCUCAGUACUUAAAGACCUGCUCUAAACUUAAUUUGGAUCUUGGUAGUGUUGUUUACAUACUAGGUUAUGCUGAGAAAAACGAGUUGACGGUCGGGGAAGGAAAAGUGGUCAUAGCCACAGACAAUCUAAUAAAGCUGACCACUGAUGGAGUAACAUGGAGCCCUGGAUCAGCUGGGUAUGAUGUGCAUGGCAAUAUUGCUUUCAUGGUCUGUGAUCCCAUGAAACUAGCCACAUCUCCAAACACAAAGUCCACUUCAACAUCAUCCUCAUCUUCAUCGUGGAAGAGGGAUCCUCUUAUGCAAUUUGGUAUACCGAUUCCCAUUAUCUGUGAUUGGUUGAAUCAACAUUGGGAGGGAAAUCUUGAUGAACUCACUAGACCAAAACCACCAGUGAUUCGCUUGAUGUCUGCUGGCCCGAAAAGUGAACAAUCAUGUGCGUCGUUCACAAAGCGACAGGUUUUUAAGUCAACAGAAGAUGAAGAUAAUGGAACUCCAACAUUAUCAACCCUCAAAACCAAAGAUAUUCCUGGACCAAGCUCUUCCCAUGUGGCAAAAGCACAUGAAGAAGACACACCAAACGCCGAAUCACAGACUGUUCCUCAUUUACAAGGAAUCCCAACUCCAGAAAUUUACGAAUCACCUAAGUUAACUUCAGCUCCAUUUAGAAAGAAUGAAAGUGCCCUAAUCCAGCUCUUAGAUAUUAAUUUUCCACCAAGGAUCAUUAAACCUGCAGUCUUGCAUCAGCCUGCUCGAAAGCUGCAUUCCAAAUUAGGUGAGAAUUUUGUUAAGGCAAUUCCCUCGCGACAUGAUGUCAGAGAGGAGCAUUCGAGGGAUCAAAGACAUGAUACUGUCGCAGAUGCCGAGAUUGCAUCAACUGGUUCUGUAAAUGCCUCCGGGAGUGGGGUCGAAUCUAGUUCCUAUCCUGUUGAGGUUUCAGAUGUUCCCGACGGGUACAGCAGCGAAGGCGAGAUUACUAUGUAUUCUGCUGAAACAGCUGAAAGUCAUAAUUAUCCAAGCCCUAGAGAGGUAAAAUUUCAGCAAGUAGGAAGGAGCCAAAGCUGUGUAAAUUACAGUAGAUGGGGAUCUGUGCAGAGGAAUCCGAUUGCUCGAAGGACCUCACUAGAAAAACAAAGAAGUUUUCUGCAGGGUAGAAAAGUUUACUCACAAGGGGCUACUUCUCAGAAGAGUAAUGACUACUUUAGCCCAACUGUCUCCUCCAUAAUGAAGAAACGGAACAACUUGGAGCAGCAGCCAACCAGGCCCCAACAAAGUGCAGUUCAUUCAUCUGCUAAAUGGGCAUUCUGAUCGGUCCAAAUCAGAAAGAUGGAUCAAUGUAAUGGUCCAUCUACGGUUCUACAUCAACUUCAGGAAUAUUUGCAAGGCCAAAAGCAUAUUUUUUUUCCAAGAGACCAACAAUACUCUUCAGCUUAGCAAUUUCCGCAAGAGGACUUAUCCCCAAGAGAGGUGGAAAUGGUUUCAACCAUCCAUGUGCAAGCCACCAUACUUUAAGCCACCACAAAGGGGGUGGUGGUAACAAGCCCUUGCUUCUAUUCAUAAUCUCGUCCUUCUUCAUCGGAAUGUCCCGCGCACCUUCAGCGAUCCCGAGGUUCGCCACCAGAAAGAUGACCAUCACGAACAAACACUUGGUCAUUUGAAGCUCCCAGUUUACCUGAACCAGUGCAUUCCCUGCAUAAUGAUGCUAGUGGUGGUACUCUUACUCUUCAGUACAAAUUUUCAAGAUUGCUUUCGACAUUUCCUGUCUCCGAUGAUUUGGGUGCCUGAGGUUAGAAGAUCCAGAAUAUUUCCACAUUGGCUUGCCAUUGUCUUCUGGUAUGUGAGGCAGAGGCACCAUCGUGCCGCUCAAGUAAAAUUUAUAGGUGUACUCAGGCCAAUGCACUGCUGCAGCGAGAUUACUUUAUAAUCUGCUGUGUAUAUUUUGUUGGCACUAGAAAGAUAAGAGUACUUGCAGUUGCUCCAUACUUUAUACACAAAAUUAUUUCAUAAACUUCACGUAAACUUUUAUUUGUCGAG